rnacentral:siRNA from 1 species
GUGUUGUGGCCUAUCCUCCAGAA